rnacentral:rRNA from 1 species
UACGGGGGGGGCAAGCGUUGUUCGGAAUUACUGGGCGUAAAGGGCGCGUAGGCGGCCACGCACGUCCGUUGUGAAAUCGCCCGGCUCAACUGGGCGGGGUCAGCGGAUACGGUGUGGCUCGAGCAAGCUAGGGGCAAUGGAAUUCCCGGUGUAGUGGUGGAAUGCGUAGAUAUCGGGAGGAACACCAGUGGCGAAGGCGGUUGCCUGGAGCUUUGGCUGACGCUGAUGCGCGAAAGCGUGGGGAGCGAGUCCGG